UGGAAGUAAAAAGUCGUAACAAGGUCUCCGUAGGUGAACCUGCGGAGGGAUCAUUACACAAAUAUGAAGGCGGGCUGGAACCUCUCGGGGUUACAGCCUUGCUGAAUUAUUCACCCUUGUCUUUUGCGUACUUCUUGUUUCCUUGGUGGGUUCGCCCACCAUAGGACAAACAUAAACCUUUUGUAAUUGCAAUCAGCGUCAGUAACAAAUUAAUAAUUACAACUUUCAACAACGGAUCUCUUGGUUCUGGCAUCGAUGAAGAACGCAGCGAAAUGCGAUAAGUAGUGUGAAUUGCAGAAUUCAGUGAAUCAUCGAAUCUUUGAACGCACAUUGCGCCCUUUGGUAUUCCAAAGGGCAUGCCUGUUCGAGCGUCAUUUGUACCCUCAAGCUUUGCUUGGUGUUGGGCGUCUUGUCUCUAGCUUUGCUGGAGACUCGCCUUAAAGUAAUUGGCAGCCGGCCUACUGGUUUCGGAGGCAGCACAAGUCGCACUCUCUAUCAGCAAAGGUCUAGCAUCCAUUAAGCCUUUUUUCAACUUUUGACCUCGGAUCAGUAGACAAAAAGCGUUA
rnacentral:rRNA from 1 species